rnacentral:misc_RNA from 1 species
GACAUUAAUUUUGCAGGUAAUGUUUUGGAGAAGUCAGCGAACCGAACACGGCAAUCGGAAAGACGCCAUGUUUGCUUUGUGCCACAAAGGAGGGUGAAUGGCGGUUCCUUAGUCAAAUCGAGGUUUCAGCGAGAAAAAAAACAGCCAUGGCGAGUGGGUUGUUAUCCCUGAAGUGGAACAACCACCGAAGCACUUUCUUCCAUAUCCUCUCCACUAUUAGGAGCAAGGAAUCCUAUUGUGAUGUGACUAUUGCCUGUGAUGGAAAAUUCUACCCAGUCCACAAACUGGUGUUAUCAACAUGUAGUGAUUACUUUGAACAAAUGUUUGAAAGGACAAACUGUAAACAUCCAAUAAUAGUGUUAAAAGAUAUUAGACAUGAGGAAUUAGAGGCUCUUCUUAAUUAUAUGUAUGUAGGUGAAGUGAAUGUGUUACAAAAUGAACUGGCUGGUUUAAUAAAGGCAGCAGAAUGCCUUAUGAUUAAAGGCCUUGCAGUACCUGAUGAAGCUCCUUCUAAAGAAUAUAAAGAAAGUAAAAGAAUUUCUGGUAUCAGAGAAGAUAGUCCCAUAGCAAAAAGAAGAAAGAGAGAUGAAGAACCAAGACCGUUACCCUCUCAUACUCAAAGAGAAAGUAGAGAGCCCAGCACGGUCAGCUCAAAUCAAUCCCAAAGACAGUCAACUAGUGCCUCUAUACCAACUCCUUCUCCUGCUGCAUCCAGAAUUGCUCCCAUGCCCAUCUCUCCUUCUCCUUCUGUUGGAAGUGCCUCUGAAUCGGUGUCAGAGGAUUGUAGUCAAGGUCACAGUGAAGGCAAUGAACUUCCGAACCUCCCCAAUGCACAAGAAUCAAAGCAUCGGGGAAGUGAGCAGACAUCUAGUCAGUCACAGCAGGCUGUACCUGAGGUAAUAUUAGAUGAGCCUGGUGUUAAAGAAGAGCCUCAAGAAGUUGAUGAGGAAGUAACAGAGACUAAGGAUAUUUUAGAGUCCCAGUUUUCAUUUGACCCACUUACGGAGGGUGAUUCUCGUAAUGAUCCUGGAAGUGGUAGUGGAGGACCUCAGGGAUUUGAUCCUCAGAUGCUUUCCUCUCAACCUCAGUCGAUGGAAGAUUUAGUUGCUCAAGCCAUUCCAGGCUCCUCUGGUUUACAGGGGAACUCUGUUUCCCUAUGGGAGGGAGAUGGAAGUCUCCAAAGCUUUCCUAUGGAAGGCUUUACUGGAGAUGGGUCACGACCUCCCCAGAUGGGUUGUGGAGAUGGUCGGUUGGCUACAGUCCUCACACCAAGGGCAGGGCAAGGGUUUGAGGGGGGUAGCGUGUUGGCUGAUAGAGCAAAGAGCUCAAUGAAAGUCUGCCCAACAUGUGGCUACCUUUCACAGGAUAUGUGUGAUCUUCGAAAGCACUUCCGGAUCCACACUGGGGAGAAGCCAUAUGCAUGCCCGCAUUGUCCGUACCGUUCUACUCAAAGCAGUAAUUUAAAAACUCAUUUUCGUAAACAUCACUCUAGUUCUUUUACAAGUGCAACAUAACCAUUACAUGACAUACUUGGGUUAAAAAAUUACAAACUAAUUGCCUUGAAUCUGGCUAUGUUGUAUGUUGAUAUCUGCAUAAGGGUUUAGGUUUUGUACAAUGCCUACAAAACGGGGCCUCCCAUCAAAUGGUGAUGCUUCAAUAUACUAUACAUACCAGAGAUUGAUUGUGAAAUACAUAACAUUUAUAUUUUGGCAUCUCUACCUUGUUGUGUUGAUUGAUUAUUCUUAUUGUUGUAACGUCUUGAGAAAACAUCGUAUUAACUUGCAAACCUACACACACUUAGAUUAUGUAUGAUAAUGAAAGUUAAAUAUUUUCAAUAUCAAAUACAGUAGUCUUGACUUUAUCAUGAGGCAAAUUCAUUUAGCACAAAUGUAUUGAGAUUACAUGUUAGGCAUACAUUUAAAUGGAAUGUUCAAAUCUUACGCGAGUUACUGAUAGGUUAUGUUAGGUUAGUCAGGUUUGGUCAUAUUUCUACAUUUGUGCAGUUGAGAUAAUUUGUGACUCGGUAUCGGGAAUUCUAUGUUCAAAUCCUGGGUGGGGCCAAAAUUGUUGGGCACCUUUCCUAUCACUUAAUAUCUCUGCUCAGGAGUUUGUUUGUUGUUGCGGGGUUGCAUCCUGGGAAGGUCAGUACAGUAGUUUGAAUGCAUGCUCCUCCAAGUGACAAGGGGCAUGGCUGACUGGGUUCGAAUCAUUCAAGGGUCCAAAGUUUUCCGAGAUACAUAUACAGUAUGUAUGUAUGUAUAUACAGUAUACUGUAUAUAAAUAAAUAAAAAUAUAAAUAUAUAUAUAUAUAUAUAUAAUAUAUAUAUUGAUCCUUCUGAAGAUGUAUUAUUAAAUACAAAAGUACUUAAUGAAAUUGUUUCAAUUCUUCCUUCGUUGUCUGACACUGUCGCAUUUUUCAUCACAUGUAAAUUUUUGUGAUUUACACAUCCAGCUGUUGUGGGGGUGGGGCUAGGAGUGGCUGGUGUGGGAGGCUGGGACUGUGUUGGUGUGGGGCUAAUAAAUAUAUAU